rnacentral:rRNA from 1 species
CAUUACAGAGUUCAUGCCCUCCGGGUAGAUCUCCCACCCAUUGCUAUCACUACUCUCGUUGCUUUGGCGGGCCGCUGGGCCCUGCCCGGCCGCCGGCCCCGGCUGGCGCGCGCCCGCCAGAGACCUCACAGACUCUGAAUGUUAGUGUCGUCCGAGUAACUAUAUAAUCGUUAAAACUUUCAACAACGGAUCUCUUGGUUCUGGCAUCGAUGAAGAACGCAGCGAAAUGCGAUAAGUAAUGCGAAUUGCAGAAUUCAGUGAGUCAUCGAAUCUUUGAACGCACAUUGCGCCCUGUGGUAUUCCGCAGGGCAUGCCUGUUCGAGCGUCAUUUCAACCCUCAAGCCUCGCUUGGUGUUGGGCCCUGCCCGUCGCGGCCGGCCCUAAAGAUAGUGGCGGCGCCGCCUGGCCCUCAGCGUAGUACAGCUCUCGCUCCAGGGUCCGGCGGCAGCCUGCCAGAACCCCCCCAACUCUUGUGGUUGACCUCGGAUCAGG